ensembl:miRNA xtr-mir-428b xtr-mir-428b
CUGGGCUCACAGCAGCCAAACAGAAGCUCUGUCUUGUGACUCUCUAUGAGAAAGUGCUUCUCGUUCGGCUGAUUUGGGCACCGGGAAAUCGUCAG